CUAAUGGAGACUGCCGGGUGAACUAACCGGGAGGAAGGUGGGGAUGACGUCAAGUCCUCAUGGCCCUUAGUAGGUGGGGCUACACACGUCAUACAAUGGCUGGUACAAAGGGUUGCCAACCCGCGAGGGGGAGCCAAUCCCAUAAAGCCAGUCGUAGUCCGGAUCGCAGUCUGCAACUCGACUGCGUGAAGUCGGAAUCGCUAGUAAUCGUGGAUCAGCAUGUCACGGUGAAUACGUUCCCGGGUCUU
rnacentral:rRNA from 1 species